GUGUCAGCAGCCGCGGUAAUACGGAGGGUGCAAGCGUUAAUCGGAAUUACUGGGCGUAAAGGGUGCGUAGGCGGUUAGAUAAGUUAAGUGUGAAAGUUCUGGGCUUAACCUGGGGAAGUCACUUAAGACUGUCUGACUGGAGUAUGGGAGAGGGUAGUGGAAUUUCCGGUGUAGCGGUGAAAUGCGUAGAGAUCGGAAGGAACACCAGUGGCGAAGGCGGCUACCUGGCCCAAUACUGACGCUGAGGCACGAAAGCGUGGGGAGCAAACAGGAUUAGAUACCCCAGUAGUCC
rnacentral:rRNA from 1 species